CCAUCCCAAAAUGCCAGAAAUGGAAGUAGCAGCCUUGAGCAAAAAAGUUCAGGGACCACAACCAGGCUCUGAGUUCAAAACCCAAGACACACACACACACACACACACAGAUACCAAUCUCAGAUUGUUCAAACCAAGACAUCAUAACCUCGGUUUGUUUUAAAGGUUUAUGUCACAGCCUUUACUCAGGUAGUGGUAUCUACAAUUUUAAAGCUGCAAAAAUGAACUUGGUGUAUCAGGCAAACCUCAUUUUAUAAAAGAGAAAACAAUACACAGAAGAAGGAAAAAAUCUGGCCUAAAAAAAAUCACAAAGCUAGGGCUAAAAGCCAGGUCAGCCCACUCUUGUCACCACAUUGGAGAGGCUCAACUAAAUACGUGUUCACACUUAAAGAUUAGUCCUGACUGGAUUAAGAAAUACCUAGGAGAUUAGGUAUUCAAUUGUUCUCUUGGUGUGUCUAUGAGGUUUGUUUCCAGAGAGAAUUAAACAGGGAAAGACUCCUCUCCAAUGUGGGUGGCACCAUCCCAUAGGCGGGAGCCUGAGUGGAAUACGAAGAGAAAAUGGACAAAGCCCAAUUACUGGCAUGCACUCAUUCUCUUCCACCUUCGUCCACUUCCUCACUGCUUCCUGGCCUCCAGGAGGUGAGCAGCCCUACCCAUGAUGGACUGGAACCUCUGAAAGUAUGAG